AGCCAAUGUGGUGCAGUGGUUUGAGCGCUGGAUUACGACUCUGGGGACCAGGGCUCAAAUCCGUGCUUGGUUG